CUAAAAGAAUAACUUGCAAAAUAACAAGCAUUGAAAC
rfam:Methanococcus maripaludis C5, complete genome.